CCUGCCCCGGAGGCUUUGUUGUGGCUGCUGUGUCGCAUGUGCGUCAGUAGGUGGCAGACAGGAGAGAGGCUAUGUCUACACUUAGUGUUCUGACCUGUGAACUUCUGAGUGGUUAGUAGCUUAACGUU